GUGUGACUCAGUCACUGUUCUUAUAUUAAACCACACUGACUGAUGAUCACUGGAUCCCAAACUUUCACCUACAGUAAUAUCUGAUACCAAAUCUCCAUUUGUUAACACUAAAUCUAGCAUGGCCUCUUUACGAGUUGGCUCCUCAACAACUUGUUUUAGAGACAAUCCCAGUAGGGAGUUUAGAAUAUGUGUGCCCCUGGCACAAGUAGCUAAUUUUGUUUUCCAAUUUACAUCAGGAAGAUUAAAGUCACCCAUGAUGAUAACUUCCCCCUUCAUUGUCAUUUUAGCUAUUUCCUCAACUAGUAG